rnacentral:rRNA from 1 species
UACGGAAGGGGCGAGCGUUGUUCGGAAUCAUUGGGCGUAAAGGGCGCGUAGGUGGUUCUGUAUGUCUACCGUGAAAGCGUACGGCUCAACCGUAUUUUGUCGGUAGAAACUGCAGGACUUGAGGCUGGGAGGGGCUGGUGGAAUUCCCUGUGUAGCGGUGAAAUGCGUAGAGAUAGGGGAGAACACUCGUGGCGAAGGCGGCCAGCUAGACCAGUUCUGACACUGGAGGCGCGACAGGCGUAGGGGAGGCAAACAUGG